CUUUUCCCAAGAGAAAACCUGGGUGCUGUUCAGAAGCCAGUUUACUCCAGAGACUCCUCCCAAAUGUAUUAUGGAAAAGACAGCACCAGCAUGGAACCAAUCCAAUAUGAGAAAGUCGAUAUCCGACUGGAGGAGAAACUCAUUUCCUGACACUGUCGUGAUCUGGGGAGGGCAUGGGACACACAGACUAAUCUUCAGAGUAACUAGACAGUUUCAAGAAGACUGCUACUGCUCUCUACAGUUUAAAUGCAUCCACUCCUUAAUUACAGUCAGUAAUUGACUUUGUUCUGCUCCAUUCCAGUCAUUCACAGGAAAGCAGUUCCAAAGGCUUUGGCUGGAACCACUAAAAUAAACAGAGGGACUGAAGAAACAAACGGAAGACAAAUCUGGGAAAAAAAUAUAGGAAAAGAACAUUAUGUGUUCUAGAUAGAGCUGCCAGUCUUCAUUGUGCCAGGUAUUUCACUUAUUUACUGAAAUCCCUCUCUUUGCCAUAAUUUUUGCAAAAGCUACAGUCUGGAAUUGGCAUUACCUUACCAAGCAGAAUUAUGAUGUUUCUAUCAGCAAUAAAUGCCCUCAAGGAAUGGCAACUGACAGCAACUCUCUUAUUUGCAAAGGGUGUGCCCUUCAGGUUGCUAACAGAAGAGCCAGGAUGCCUGGUUUCUCUUUUCCUUGUUAUAGCACUUUGGAAAAAUCACUUCAAAGGCUGAAUCCAUUCACAUGUUAGUUUUACAAUGAACUGUAGUACAGUCCUGCUGUUAAACGUUGAUCCUCUGAAAAUAUUGGCUCACUGCAGGUAAAUGCAUGUUAAAUUCGAUACACUGCUGGGCUGCCAACAAAGUGUGGGAAUGAGGGCAGGUGUGAAACACUUUUUAUGAUAUUCUACUUAUGGCUUGUUAAGGAUUUUCCUUGUCACCUUUUAAAGCUGCAAAUGGAGAGGUGAGCUUUUGAAUGUCACCAUAAUGACGUACCUAGGUCGUGUUCAACAAAAUCCUAUGUUAUUAGACAAAAAGAUACCUAUAUAACUCCAGGAAAUACUGGACACUGUAAUUAAUACCACUGUCAUUUUAUAAUACACGAAUAUAACUUGGAUCCUAUCCAGGAUCAGCAGUUCUUAAAAAUCCUACAAAUCAUGUAUUUUUCCUGUGCUAGGUUGCGCUCUGAGACAUGCUACUGUGCCAUGCAUGCCUGUGUUCCUCCAGGACUUCCAAACCGUUACACAUCACCUGGAUCACCUCUGUCUCAGAGACUAUUCCUUUUCACGUUAUACCUAUACCAAUAGAAAACAGGAGAUAAAAGCUGGAAAAGUGCCAUGGCAUAAGCCCAGCAUCUUCUGCCCUUUGUCUUCCCGCAAACUCUGGUCUGGGGAUUACUGCACUGCUGUAAAAAAAAAAAUCCUUCAUGGUAUCCCUCUAGUUCUUUACCAAUACACAUCUUUAUAGAUACUUUAAUUCUUUAUAUUUAAUUCCACUGCAGAACAAGGAUGGAGGCAAUUUUAAGAAUGCUACCGAUAGGCACUCCCGCUAUGGAGAUAUGGAAAUGAGAAAUAAAUUCACACAGCAAAACGAAAAUACAGAACCGUGUUAUUGAUUCACUCACUUCAAAGUGUACUUAUGCAUCU